rnacentral:lncRNA from 1 species
AGCGCGCGACCCCCCCUCCUCCUUCCCUCUCUCGUUUUUCCAAUCACCUGAGACCAGCGCCUUCAACCACCACUCCUCCACCUUCGACCACCACUCCUCCACCUCCAGUUUCCUUUUCUCUCUGUUUCCGCUGGCGCAGCAAAGGAGAGCUGUGCUAUUCCGAUCGGCACAGUCUCCUGCAGCUCCUCUCUUCGAUUCUCCGGCAAGAUCAACCAAAGACCGGCCGAUUAGACCUUCCUAAUGACGCUAAUAGCUUUGUCGGCCACAGUCCUCGUCAGUUCCAUCCAGGUUCGCACCAACAGUAUCGGUUUUGAGCAUUCGAGCUAUUUUCGGUCAUUUUAACCGGAAAUAUUCAAUUUUCCACACAUUCUAUAGCUAGGUAAAUUGAUUUUUGACCCUGUUUCAGUAUAUUUUCAUGAAUUCUUUGAUUAUAGUUUAAGAAUGAGUGUAGCAUGAUUAUGACUGCAAUUAUUAUUGCUAAUACUUAGGCUAUUGCAGAAAUUUAUAUAUAUCUAGCUACUGUUUAGGUGAAUGUUAUUAUGAAUUUCGAAUUUUUGCUUUUGAAUUAGUAUAUAAAGUGAUUCCUAUAUCGAUGGUUACAUUAUUACAUUUAUUAUAAAUCCUUGUGAAGAAUUAAGCAUUCUUUAGGUUGAAGAUAGCUAGUUAGCUAUAUGUUCAAGCCCUUGUUAUCCUAUGAAGGAAUUAUUAACUUGUUUCCAUUUUGAAUGAGUUAUAAACUGAAAUUUAUUAAGAAAUGUGCAAAACCAAUGGAUAUAUCAUGGGUAUUAAAUAGAAAACUUCGAAUCCCUUGAGCGAGCAACAAUUUAUUUAGUUGAUUUCUUGAAUUGUAGUGUUUUGGCCGGAUGAGUAUGUGAAGUCGUAAACCAGGUUCUUGAUGCGGUAUAAGCUUAAGUUUAG